rnacentral:lncRNA from 1 species
UCAUUAAAUAAAUACUUUUGAUAUAAAAGCAAGUUCUAAACUUAGAGACAAUUAAUUUCUACCUCUGAAUAACCGAUAAAAUAACACAAUUGAUCAAUCAAAUUUACAAAAAUCUAAAUUGUUCAUAACUCAACAAAAUACGAAAAAUUACUCCCACCCAAUAUCACCUAUUCAGAGUGUGGAUCUCCAAUCGAUAACCUGAAAUAAUUGCGCUCUCGCAAGCGCCAAACACAAGCAACGAGGGGUGAGCUUCGAAAACAUGUAAUGGUAUAAAAUAACUGAGAAGAACACGUAAAAAAAUAUUAAACACCGUAUCAUAUCAAAUCAUAACCAACAAGAAUAAUCAAGGUAAAACAUUGAUACAAUCCACAACAUCAAGUAAGUAAAUACACAAAUCAAGUAAUGUUAUGCAUGCUCUUAUACUCUAGACUCCUCCUCUUUCUUUGGUACCAUUCUAACUCUGAAGUACUUGGUUAGGAGGCUCGAUACUAUGCCACCACGCAAGUGGACGGACAAUUCAAAUUGGCCCUGUCCUCAUAGAUCCCUCAACUCAACCCGAGACACAUAUACGUGACAGUCGAGGUAAACGUGUGUUGCGUGGUAGCUCCCGACAUUUGGAGUGCUACCUCCAAGUCACCUAGGAAUUCCCCACCCGGAUACCUCCAAGGUCUAACAAUCUUGCCUUAAGGCUCAACAGUAGACCGCCACGAUCAGGCUCAUUCAGUUGUACUUCCCCAUAAUCACUAGGCUUGUCAGGCCCUACCUAUAUGAUGACCAAAUAAUCUCCACUUCAAAAAUUAUCAACAACGACUUUAUCCCCUCGUUGUCCUGGGUCACUUACUCCAUUAAGAGAACCAUCAUUGGCACGGGUCGAAUUCGUCACUAUUCAAUUAAACACAAUACACAUUUCAUGAUAUUCAUCAGGGUGGUAAUAUCACAAGUCAGGGAGCACACAUCGUCAUUGCAGAUUUCCAUAGUCAUACAUUACAUUCAAAAUUUAUCAUCAUGAUACGUCAUCUCAAACAAUAAAGGGUUUACACUCACAUAUGAUAAUAAUACUAGACCAUUCACACACACCACAUCAAUUGCAAGGCAAAUAAUUACAAUUCAUCACAUUUUAUAUCAUAUAUCAGUAUCAAGGAUAGAUAUAAACAAAACACAGAAUGAAUCAAAUACACAAUUCUACAAUAAUUCAACUAUCACACGAUCUUCAAAAAUCAAAUCAAACAACAUCCUAUAAAAGUUUCUAAUUCAUAUUUUAACCUCACAAAAUUCAAGUUUGCUCAUUAGUCAAUUAUUACUCAAAGGCCUUCUGCCAUACGUAGCGAGCCCCGAAUG